rnacentral:rRNA from 1 species
GCGUUGAGUAUUUGGUCGUAGACCCGAAACCAGGUGAUCUACCCUUGGUCAGGUUGAAGUUCAGGUAACACUGAAUGGAGGACCGAACCGACUUACGUUGAAAAGUGAGCGGAUGAACUGAGGGUAGCGGAGAAAUUCCAAUCGAACUUGGAGAUAGCUGGUUCUCUCCGAAAUAGCUUUAGGGCUAGCCUCAAGUGAUGAUUAUUGGAGGUAGAGCACUGUUUGGACGAGGGGCCUCUCUCGGGUUACCGAAUUCAGACAAACUCCGAAUGCCAAUUAAUUUAACUUGGGAGUCAGAACAUGGGUGAUAAGGUCCGUGUUCGAAAGGGAAACAGCCCAGACCACCAGCUAAGGUCCCCAAAUAUAUGUUAAGUGGAAAAGGAUGUGGCGUUGCCCAGACAACUAGGAUGUUGGCUUAGAAGCAGCCAUCAUUUAAAGAGUGCGUAAUAGCUCACUAGUCGAGUGACACUGCGCCGAAAAUGUACCGGGGCUAAACAUAUUACCGAAGCUGUGGAUUGUCCUUCGGACAAUGGUAGGAGAGCGUUCUAAGGGCGUUGAAGCAUGAUCGCAAGGACAUGUGGAGCGUUUAGAAGUGAGAAUGCCGGUGUGAGUAGCGAAAGACGGGUGAGAAUCCCGUCCACCGAUUGACUAAGGUUUCCAGAGGAAGGCUCGUCCGCUCUGGGUUAGUCGGGUCCUAAGCUGAGGCCGACAGGCGUAGGCGAUGGAUAACAGGUUGAUAUUCCUGUACCACUUAGUAUCGUUUUAAUCGAUGGGGGGACGCAGUAGGAUAGGCGAAGCGUGCUGUUGGAGUGCACGUCUAAGCAGUAAGGCUGAGUGUUAGGCAAAUCCGGCACUCAUCAGGCUAAGCUGUGAUGGGGAGAGGAAAUUGUUUCCUCGAGUCGUUGAUUUCACACUGCCGAGAAAAGCCUCUAGAUAGAUAACAGGUGCCCGUACCGCAAACCGACACAGGUAGUCAAGAUGAGAAUUCUAAGGUGAGCGAGCGAACUCUCGUUAAGGAACUCGGCAAAAUGACCCCGUAACUUCGGGAGAAGGGGUGCUCUUUAGGGUUUACGCCCAGAAGAGCCGCAGUGAAUAGGCCCAAGCGACUGUUUAUCAAAAACACAGGUCUCUGCUAAACCGUAAGGUGAUGUAUAGGGGCUGACGCCUGCCCGGUGCUGGAAGGUUAAGAGGAGUGGUUAGCUUCUGCGAAGCCACGAAUCGAAGCCCCAGUAAACGGCGGCCGUAACUAUAACGGUCCUAAGGUAGCGAAAUUCCUUGUCGGGUAAGUUCCGACCCGCACGAAAGGCGUAACGAUUUGGGCACUGUCUCAACGAGAGACUCGGUGAAAUCAUAGUACCUGUGAAGAUGCAGGUUACCCGCGACAGGACGGAAAGACCCCGUGGAGCUUUACUGUAGCCUGAUAUUGAAAUUCGGCACAGCUUGUACAGGAUAGGUAGGAGCCAUUGAAACGUGAGCGCUAGCUUAUGUGGAGGCGUUGGUGGGAUACUACCCUAGCUGUGUUGGCUUUCUAACCCGCACCACUUAUCGUGGUGGGAGACAGUGUCAGGUGGGCAGUUUGACUGGGGCGGUCGCCUCCUAAAAGGUAACGGAGGCGCUCAAAGGUUCCCUCAGAAUGGUUGGAAAUCAUUCACAGAGUGUAAAGGCAUAAGGGAGCUUGACUGCGAGACUUACAAGUCGAGCAGGGUCGAAAGACGGACUUAGUGAUCCGGUGGUUCCAUAUGGAAGGGCCAUCGCUCAACGGAUAAAAGCUACCCCGGGGAUAACAGGCUUAUCUCCCCCAAGAGUUCACAUCGACGGGGAGGUUUGGCACCUCGAUGUCGGCUCAUCGCAUCCUGGGGCUGUAGUCGGUCCCAAGGGUUGGGCUGUUCGCCCAUUAAAGCGGUACGCGAGCUGGGUUCAGAACGUCGUGAGACAGUUCGGUCCCUAUCCGUCGUGGGCGUAGGAAAUUUGAGAGGAGCUGUCCUUAGUACGAGAGGACCGGGAUGGACAUACCUCUGGUGUACCAGUUGUCGUGCCAACGGCAUAGCUGGGUAGCUAUGUAUGGACGGGAUAAGUGCUGAAAGCAUCUAAGCAUGAAGCCCUCCUCAAGAUGAGAUUUCCCAACUUCGGUUAUAAGAUCCCUCGAAGAUGACGAGGUUAAUAGGUUCGAGGUGGAAGCGUGGUGACACGUGGAGCUGACGAAUACUAAUCGAUCGAAGACUUAAUCAA